rnacentral:rRNA from 1 species
GAACGAACGCUGGCGGCGUGCCUAACACAUGCAAGUCGUGCGAGAAAGUUCCUUCGGGAGCGAGUAAAGCGGCGCACGGGUGAGUAACACGUAGGUAACCUGCCCCCCAGUCUGGAACAACUAGAGGAAACUCUAGCUAAUGCCGGAUGAGACCACGAUCCCUUCGGGGGUUGCGGCCAAAGAUGGCCUCUACUUGUAAGCUAUCGCUGAGGGAUGGGCCUGCGGGCCAUUAGCUUGUUGGUGAGGUAACGGCUCACCAAGGCUGUGAUGGCUAGCUGGUCUGAGAGGAUGACCAGCCACACUGGGACUGAGACACGGCCCAGACUCCUACGGGAGGCAGCAGUGGGGAAUAUUGGACAAUGGGGGAAACCCUGAUCCAGCCAUGCCGCGUGAGUGAAGAAGGCCUUCGGGUUGUAAAGCUCUUUCGACGGGGAAGAUGAUGACGGUACCCGUAUAAGAAGCCCCGGCUAACUUCGUG